rnacentral:rRNA from 1 species
CCGCCCGUCACACUAUGAGAGUCGUCAGCACCCAAAGUUGCUUUAGCUAACCGUCAAGGAGGCGAGCAGUUAAGGUGAGGGGGAUGAUUGGAGUG